AACGAACGCUGGCGGCAGGCUUAACACAUGCAAGUCGAACGCAUCCUUCGGGGUGAGUGGCAGACGGGUGAGUAACGCGUGGGAACGUGCCCUUCAGUUCGGGAUAACCCAGGGAAACUUGGGCUAAUACCGGAUACGUGCGAGAGCAGAAAGAUUUAUCGCUGAAGGAUCGGCCCGCGUCUGAUUAGCUAGUUGGUGGGGUAAUGGCCCACCAAGGCGACGAUCAGUAGCUGGUCUGAGAGGAUGAUCAGCCACAUUGGGACUGAGACACGGCCAAACCUCCUACGAGAGGAAGAGGUGGGGAUUAUUGGACAAUUGGCGCAAGCCUGAUCCAGCCAUGCCGCGUGAGUGAUGAAGGCCUUAGGGUUGUAAAGCUCUUUCGUCCGGGACGAUAAUGACGGUACCGGAAGAAGAAGCCCCGGCUAACUUCGUGCCAGCCGCCGCCGUAA
rnacentral:rRNA from 1 species